GAUGAAGAACGUAGCGAAAUGCGAUACUUGGUGUGAAUUGCUGAAUCCCGUGAACCAUCGAGUCUUUGAACGCAAGUUGCGCCCGAAGCCAUUAGGCCGAGGGCACGCCUGCCUGGGCGUCACACGUCGUUGCCCCCCCCAUCUACUCCUUCGGGAUUGCGGGGGGCGGAUGAUGGCCUCCCGUGCGCCUCGUCGCGCGGUUGGCAUAAAUGCCAAGUCCUCGGCGACGCACGCCACGACAAUCGGUGGUUGCGAAACCUCGGUUGCCCGUCGUGUGCGGUCGUCGCGCAUCGAGGGCUCGAAAAAAUUGUCGGGCUCCGGCUCGGCUUUCAACGCGACCCCAGGUCAGGCGGGGUUACCCGCUGAAUUUAAGCAUAUCAAUAAGCGGAGGA
rnacentral:misc_RNA from 1 species